CUCUGCCACCCGCAGCACGCGGAAAUUUCCACGUUCCAACCGCCUUCCCCCCCUUUAAACUUAGUAUUAAUUUAGGACGGAUCCUUUUAAACGUCUGCUUAAUGCAUUCAGACGCUGCUGGAGGUUUAUCUUUUUUUUUCUUUUUUUUUCUUUUUUCUUUUUUUUUUUUCUUUUUUUUUUUUCUUUUUUUUUUUUUUUUUUUUUUUUUUUUUUGUACCGUGGGUUAUAUUUACACCCAAAACAAAAUAAUUACACUUUUGUUGGAGAGAGAAAGCUGGUGAUUAGACCGGGGCUCUUUGCAGCAAACCCUUUCUCAGUGGUACACCAGGACAAUUUUUCACGGCUGGGUGAAAUCAGACGCGGGAGACUCACCAGUCCUCCUUCCCCUGCCCGACGAUGCCCUUUUCCUGCGGAUUUGAGGUUUCUUUUUUGGCCGCUACUGAGAUUCUUUCAGCCCGGCCGCUGUGGUCCUUCCUCCCCGAUGCGGAGAAAGAGCGAGGAUAUAGAGGGGCGGCCGCGGGGAAGGGAGAAACGGGAGGACCACCCCAGCUCCGAAGCCCGGUGUCCCGGUGUCCCUCGCCGCCGCCGGUUGUCGCAGCUCCGCCGCACCUGAAACUGAAGAGCACAAACAACGGAGAAGUGCGGCGACCCCCGGCUCAGGCAUCCCCCUCCUCCUCCUCGCCCCCCUUUCCCCUCUCGUUCAGUGUCAGCCCCUCUCCUCCCGACGGAGCGGCCCGGAGGGGACACUGCUGCGCGACAAAGGCCGGCGGGGGGGCACGGCAUUGCGCGAAGCCGCGUAACUUUUCGUCUCCUCUGUCCCCACCCCCGGGUUCCUCCCCCCGCUCCUCACCCUCACCCUCUUCGUGCUUUCACCGCCCACCCCGGGCACAGUGCAGGCUGAAAGGGGAACAGCUGCGGGAGUGGUGCAAACAGUGACAGAACAGGUGACGGCCGCCCCGUCCCCAUUCGGGACCCCCGGAACGAACAUCCCCAUCAAAGAAAGAAUUCAAAAAAGAGAGAGAGAGAGAAAGGCUGAGCAGAAACCGCCCCCCCCCCCCCCCCCCGCCCCGGCACCCCAGGCCAGGUGCGUACUCACUUGGCGGCGCAGGUACAAGCCACCCUCAACAAUAGAGGCGCGUUGUUUUUUUCCCUCUGUGCCAAGCACAAGGCUGGAGCCAAUUUAGAUAUGCUAUAAAUUAAGAGGUUACCAUGGCCACUGCGCUGCCAUUGGCCGCCUCCCGCCCGACGCGGGCCCCCACGUCACCAAAUCUGAAUAAGGAUGCGCGAAUUACUAAGGCGGGGGACAAAGCUGGCGAUGGGGACAGCAUGAGAGUGGCGGCGCGGCGGCGGAGCACAGCGAGGCAC
ensembl:lncRNA